AUUGAACGCUGGCGGCAUGCCUUACACAUGCAAGUCGAACGGCAGCACGGGUGCUUGCACCUGGUGGCGAGUGGCGAACGGGUGAGUAAUGCGUCGGAACGUACCCGGAAGUGGGGAUAACGUAGCGAAAGUUACGCUAAUACCGCAUAUUCUGUGAGCAGGAAAGAGGGGGAUCGCAAGACCUCUCGCUUUCGGAGCGGCCGAUGUCGGAUUAGCUAGUUGGCGGGGUAAAGGCCCACCAAGGCGACGAUCCGUAGCGGGUCUGAGAGGAUGAUCCGCCACACUGGGACUGAGACACGGCCCCAGACUCCUACGGGAGGCAGCAGUGGGGAAUUUUGGACAAUGGGCGCAAGCCUGAUCCAGCCAUGCCGCGUGAGUGAAGAAGGCCUCGGGUUGCAAAGCUCUUUCGGCUGGAAGAAAUCGCAUCUCCUAAUACGGGGUGUGGAUGACGGUACCGGCAUAAGAAGCACCGGCUAACUACGUGCCAGCAGCCGCGGUAAUACGUAGGGUGCGAGCGUUAAUCGGAAUUACUGGGCGUAAAGCGUGCGCAGGCGGUUUCGUAAGACAGACGUGAAAUCCCCGGGCUCAACCUGGGAACUGCGUUUGUGACUGCGAGGCUAGAGUAUGGCAGAGGGGGGUGGAAUUCCACGUGUAGCAGUGAAAUGCGUAGAGAUGUGGAGGAACACGAUGCGAAGGCAGCCCCUGGGCAAUACUGACGCUCAUGCACGAAAGCGUGGGGAGCAAACAGGAUUAGAUACCCUGGUAGU
rnacentral:rRNA from 1 species